CCUACGGGAGGCAGCAGUAAGGAAUCUUCCGCAAUGGGCGAAAGCCUGACGGAGCAACGCCGCGUGGGCGAUGAAGGCCUUCGGGUCGUAAAGCCCUUUUCUGUGGGACGAUAAUGACGGUACCACAGGAAUAAGCCACGGCUAACUACGUGCCAGCAGCCGCGGUAAUACGUAGGUGGCUAGCGUUAUCCGGAUUCACUGGGCGUAAAGAGCGCGUAGGCGGUGUGCUAAGUUGGACGUGAAAGCCCCCGGCUUAACCGGGGGAGGUCGUCCAAUACUGGUGCACGUGAGGGUGGACGGGGAAAGCGGAAUUCCAGGUGUAGCGGUGAAAUGCGUAGAUAUCUGGAGGAACACCGGAGGCGAGGGCGGUCUCCGGGCCGGUUACUGACGCUCAGGCACGAAAGCGUGGGGAGCAAACGGGAUUAGAUACCCGGGUAGU
rnacentral:rRNA from 1 species